AGAGUUUGAUCCUGGCUCAGGACGAACGCUGGCGGCGUGCUUAACACAUGCAAGUCGAACGAGGCCCUCGCUUCGGUGGGGUGUUCUAGUGGCGAACGGGUGAGUAACACGUGGGCAACCUGCCCCCGGCUCUGGGAUAACUCCAAGAAAUUGGGGCUAAUACCGGAUAUGACCGCUGACCGCAUGGUCUGGUGGUGGAAAGUUUUUCGGCUGGGGAUGGGCCCGCGGCCUAUCAGCUUGUUGGUGGGGUAGUGGCCUACCAAGGCGACGACGGGUAGCCGGCCUGAGAGGGUGACCGGCCACACUGGGACUGAGACACGGCCCAGACUCCUACGGGAGGCAGCAGUGGGGAAUAUUGCGCAAUGGGCGGAAGCCUGACGCAGCGACGCCGCGUGGGGGAUGACGGCCUUCGGGUUGUAAACCUCUUUCAGCAGGGACGAAGCCGCGAGGUGACGGUACCUGCAGAAGAAGCACCGGCCAACUACGUGCCAGCAGCCGCGGUAAUACGUAGGGUGCAAGCGUUGUCCGGAAUUAUUGGGCGUAAAGAGCUCGUAGGCGGUUCGUCGCGUCGGCUGUGAAAACCUGAGGCUCAACCUCAGGCCUGCAGUCGAUACGGGCGGACUAGAGUUCGGCAGGGGAGACUGGAAUUCCUGGUGUAGCGGUGAAAUGCGCAGAUAUCAGGAGGAACACCGGUGGCGAAGGCGGGUCUCUGGGCCGAUACUGACGCUGAGGAGCGAAAGCGUGGGGAGCGAACAGGAUUAGAUACCCUAGUAGUCC
rnacentral:rRNA from 1 species